ACAAACUUGGUCAUUUAGAGGAAGUAAAAGUCGUAACAAGGUCUCCGUAGGUGAACCUGCGGAGGGAUCAUUACUGAGUGAGGGCCUCCGGGUCCGACCUCCAACCCUUUUGUGAACCAACCUGUUGCUUCGGGGGAGACCCCGCCGUUCGCGGCGGCGGCUCCCCCGGAGGCCCAUUAACACUGCGUAACUGUUUGUCGGAGUCUUAAUAAAUCAAUCAAAACUUUCAACAACGGAUCUCUUGGUUCUGGCAUCGAUGAAGAACGCAGC
rnacentral:misc_RNA from 1 species